rnacentral:lncRNA from 1 species
AUUCUUUUCAAUAUACCCCAUCAUGGUUGAACUCAAAGUCAUUGCUUAUUUAAAAUCUACAACUGCUGACGUUUUGUAUCCUUCGCAUUCC